AGUAAAACAGUACGUGAAAUUGUUGAAAGGGAAACGAUUGAAGUCAGUCAUGCCGGCGUUGGAUUCAGCUUGCUUCGCGGAGCUUGCGCAUUUCCUCGCAUGGCAGGUCAGCGUCAGUUUUGCGCGGCGUGAAAAGGCUCGGGUAAGGUAGCUCUCUUCGGGGAGUGUUAUAGACCUGGGCAAAUGCGCAGCGCGGGACUGAGGAUUGCAGCGGACACCUCUUCGGGGGCGCGGCGACCGAACCCUGCUCGGCCACCCUCGUUCGAUAGCGUGCUAACGGACGCGGGAGCGGCGGUGCACCGGAACAGGCAAGCCAGCGGUUCGCUUAGGAUGCUGACGUAAUGGCUUUAAA
rnacentral:misc_RNA from 1 species